GGAAGUAAAGUCGUAACAAGGUCUCCGUUGGUGAACCAGCGGAGGGAUCAUUACCGAGUGCAAACUCAUAACCCUUUGUGAACCUAUAUCUGUUGCUUCGGCGGCUCGCUCUCGGGCGAGCCCGCCGGUAAUAUCAGUAUCUCUGUUUGAACCCGACGAUACUUCUGAGUGUUCUUAGCGAACAGUUAAAACUUUUAACAACGGAUCUCUUGGCUCUA
rnacentral:misc_RNA from 1 species